rnacentral:rRNA from 1 species
CCAAGGAGUCUAACAUGCGCGCGAGUCAUUGGGCUGUACGAAACCCAAAGGCGCAGUGAAAGCGAGGGCCGUCUCGGACUGGCCCAGGUGGGAUCCCCUCCCCCCUCGGGGUGCGGGGGGCGCACCACCGGCCCGUCCCGUCUGCGUCGUCAGUGGGGCGGAGCAGGAGCGUGCACGCUGGGACCCGAAAGAUGGUGAACUAUGCCUGAGUAGAACGAAGCCAGAGGAAACUCUGGUGGAAGUCCGUAGCGAUUCUGACGUGCAAAUCGAUCGUCAAACUUGGGUAUAGGGGCGAAAGACUAAUCGAACCAUCUA